rnacentral:rRNA from 1 species
CUCCUUUGACGUUAGCGGCGGACGGGUGAGUAACACGUGGGUAACCUACCUAUAAGACUGGGAUAACUUCGGGAAACCGGAGCUAAUACCGGAUAAUAUUUCGAACCGCAUGGUUCGAUAGUGAAAGGUGGUUUUGCUAUCACUUAUAGAUGGACCCGCGCCGUAUUAGCUAGUUGGUAAGGUAACGGCUUACCAAGGCGACGAUACGUAGCCGACCUGAGAGGGUGAUCGGCCACACUGGAACUGAGACACGGUCCAGACUCCUAGGGAGGCAGCAGUU